GACGAACGCUGGCGGCGUGCCUAAUACAUGCAAGUAGAACGCACAGUUUAUACCGUAGCUUGCUACACCAUAGACUGUGAGUUGCGAACGGGUGAGUAACGCGUAGGUAACCUGCCUGGUAGCGGGGGAUAACUAUUGGAAACGAUAGCUAAUACCGCAUAAUAUUCAUUAUUGCAUGAUAAUUAAUUGAAAGGUGCAAUUGCACCACUACCAGAUGGACCUGCGUUGUAUUAGCUAGUAGGUGAGGUAACGGCUCACCUAGGCGACGAUACAUAGCCGACCGGAGAGGGUGAUCGGCCAGACAGGGACUGAGACACGGCCCAGACUGCUACGGGAGGCAGCAGUAGGGAAGCUUCGGCAAUGGACGAAAGUCUGACCGAGACACGCCGCGUGAGUGAAGAAGGUUUUCGGAUCGUAAAGAUCUGUUGUAAGAGAAGAACGGGUGUGAGAGUGGAAAGUUCACACUGUGACGGUAUCUUACCAGAAAGGGACGGCUAACUACGUG
rnacentral:rRNA from 1 species